CCACUCUUCAAAAUACUUUGAACACUAGGUGUACUUACCACCAAUAGUUUUUCAGAGGAAGAAGGAAUAUAAGUAUCGACGAGAAAAGCACCCCGUGUGAAUCAAUCAGCUGCGCAACGGUUGAAUUCCACGAAUUUGAAGGUUAUAUGGUCCGCGGGUUACUAAACAUUUAUGACCGUGCCGAUAAGACGAAUGAUAAAUGAUAUAUAUGACGCCUAUAAAAACUUGGUACCCAUCGAAUAAUGAAUCUAAUCAGUUCGUUGUUCUCCAUACCUAGGGAUCAGCGUAAUCAUCAAUAAACUUAUCAUAUAAACAAGGAACUUUGAAAAGGAAAAAACAAGAAAGUAUUAGUGAAAAUGAUGAAAAAAAAGACCGAAAGAAACUUAUCACAGAAUUCACUGGCCCAAGCUGAUUCCUCUAAAGUCGAAAAUAUACUUAAAGAUAAAGAUGUUUGUGAUAACGAUAUCGGCAAAUGGGUAGGGCGAACUUCUUUAAUGACAAUUCAAAAAUUAGAUAUGCUCAAACUUGGUUGGGUACCUCCUGAAAGUUACGACUUUGCCAAAGAUGCCGUAGUCGCUAAUCUCAAACGUAAAUUCAAUCAUAGUUGGGUGCAAACUUAUUCGCCCUGGCUGCGCCUAAAGGUACACUGUGUUUAUAUUUUUCACCCAAAGUUGUAGCUGGUGGUUUAUUUGUAACUCAAUCGCUUUGCCGCUUUAAAAAUAUUCAUGAAUAAUUCGUUAAGCAUGUCUCAUCACAAUAUCAUAAAUUCGAAGUCGACGAAGAGAUUUUUUUUCGGAACAAAUGCCUGUGGUUGUAAUGAUGAAAACGGCUGAUCAGCCAAAAAUUGAGAAAAAUAAAAACAUAGUGCCCUCUAUAA